GGCUGCAGAAGGAGCAAGAAUUGUUGAUUCUUCACUAGUGUUGAUUUAAAUGCUAGCAUAUUUGAGCAAGCUAAGAAAUUUGUUGUGACACAGUUUGUGAACCCAAAGGAUGAUAGUAAACAAUUUCGAGAGUUACUCCUAUUUACUUCUUCUAAUGGAUCAUAUUGCGAAAGAAAAAAAAAGACAUGAUAAUCUUUUCUUCAUUUUUGAUUAUUUGAUCAGUUAAUUGCUGAGAUGACUGGUGGUGAUUUGGAUAGGAGUGUGGAAUGUUUUUGCAAUAUUGAUGCUACGAGUCCAACAUUUGAAUGUGUCCAUGAUGGGUGAGGAGUGGCUGUUAUUAUUGGGAUACCCCAUAAGGAAGCUGUGUUCAAGGAACCCCUAUGAAUUUCUAAAUGAAAGGACUCUCAAAGGAACCUUCAUUGGAAAUACAAACCUCAUUUAGGAUAUUCCUUUUGUUGUUGAGAAAUACAUGAAUAGGAACUUGAACUGGAUAUAUUCAUCGCUCAUACACUCCCAUUUUCUUAAAUCAACGAGGCUUUUGAAUUAAUGUUGAAGAGAGAAGGCCUUCGUUGCAUCAUCACCAUGGAGGGCUAACUUACUGUCCUUGAAAAGGGUCUUCUAGCUAGUCGCUACUGUUUUCGUGCUAGUCAACUUG